UACGUAGGGACCGAGCGUUGUCCGGAUUCAUUGGGCGUAAAGAGCUCGUAGGCGGCUGCUCAAGUCGAAUGUGAAAACUCGAGGCUCAACCUCGAGCCUGCAUUCGAUACUGGGCGGCUAGAGUCUGGUAGGGGGAUCUGGAAUUCCUGGUGUAGCGGUGGAAUGCGCAGAUAUCAGGAGGAACACCGGUGGCGAAGGCGGGAUCCUGGGCCAGUACUGACGCUCAGGGGCGAAAGCGUGGGGAGCAAACCGG
rnacentral:rRNA from 1 species